CUGGGUAUAGUUCAGCAGCAGAACGCGUGCUCGGGGAGCACGAGGCCGUUGGUGCGAUUCCAACUAUCCAGA
rnacentral:tRNA from 1 species